rnacentral:rRNA from 1 species
GUGGGGAAUAUUGCACAAUGGGGGAAACCCUGAUGCAGCGACGCCGCGUGAGUGAAGAAGUAUUUCGGUACGUAAAGCUCUAUCAGCAAGGAAGAAAAUGACGGUACUUGACUAAGAAGCCCCGGCUAACUACGUGCCAGCAGCCGCGGUAAUACGUAGGGGGCAAGCGUUAUCCGGAUUUACUGGGUGUAAAGGGAGCGUAGACGGUAUGGUAAGUCAGAUGUGAAAGCCCGGGGCUCAACCCCGGGACUGCAUUUGAAACUAUCAGACUAGAGUGCAGGAGAGGUAAGUGGAAUUCCUAGUGUAGCGGUGAAAUGCGUAGAUAUUAGGAGGAACACCAGUGGCGAAGGCGGCUUACUGGACAAUAACUGACGUUGAGGCUCGAAAGCGUGGGAAGCAAACAGGAUUAGAAACCCGAGUAGUCC